CCAUGCUUACAACAUAGCAUUAAUGCACCAGAUCCCAUUAGAAAUCUACAUUUAAGCACACUCGGGAUAGAGUGGUAUUGGGAUGGAUGACAUCCCAAGAAGUCCUAAUGUUUUACAUGCC
rnacentral:rRNA from 1 species